GGGUAACAAAAUUAAACGCUUCCAUUUUGAAAUGAAAAGGGGAAUGAAAGAUGGGAACGAUCGUUUGUCAAGACUGCAAUGAAACCAUUCAGCAUUUUGAGGAUGAAAAGGUGACGGUUCUUUACGGAACAUGCGGACAUUGCAACUGCUGUCACGAAGAGGAGAAAUAGACAAAAAAAGCAUGCGGCCGAUUUGAUCUAAAGCCGCAUGCUUUCGU
rnacentral:sRNA from 1 species